rnacentral:rRNA from 1 species
CCUACGGGUGGCAGCAGUAGGGAAUUUUGCGCAAUGGGGGAAACCCUGACGCAGCAACGCCGCGUGAUCGAUGAAGCCCUUCGGGGUGUAAAGAUCUGUCAGUGGGGACGAAACCUGACGGUACCCACAGAGGAAGCACCGGCUAACUCCGUGCCAGCAGCCGCGGUAAUACGGGGGGUGCAAGCGUUGUCCGGAAUCAUUGGGCGUAGAGAGUUCGUAGGUGGCACGUUAAGUCUGGUGUUAAAGGCGGAAGCUCAACGUCCGUAGGGCACUGGAUACUGGCGCGCUUGAAUGCGGGAGAGGGAGAGGGAGUGCGGGGUGUAGCGGUGAAAGGCGUAG